rnacentral:rRNA from 1 species
AUUGAACGCUGGCGGCAUGCCUUACACAUGCAAGUCGAACGGUAACAGGUCUUCGGAUGCUGACGAGUGGCGAACGGGUGAGUAAUACAUCGGAACGUGCCCGAGAGUGGGGGAUAACGAGGCGAAAGCUUUGCUAAUACCGCAUACGAUCUCAGGAUGAAAGCAGGGGACCGCAAGGACUUGCGCUAACGGAGCGGCCGAGGGCAGAUUAGGUAGUUGGUGGGAUAAAAGCUUACCAAGCCGACGAUCUGUAGCUGGGCUGAGAGGACGACCAGCCACACUGGGACUGAGACACGGCCCAGACUCCUACGGGAGGCAGCAGUGGGGAAUUUUGGACAAUGGGCGCAAGCCUGAUCCAGCCAUGCCGCGUGCAGGAUGAAGGCCUUCGGGUUGUAAACUGCUUUUGUACGGAACGAAAAGACUCUGGUUAAUACCUGGGGUCCAUGACGGUACCGUAAGAAUAAGCACCGGCUAACUACGUGCCAGCAGCCGCCGUAAUAC